CGGGACGCAGAGUGUGAGGGGCGGCAGCAACACAGACGAGGCCGCUUCUUCUCGCGAGCCUUGCCGCCGUUGCUCCUUAGCCGCCCACGGCCCGGAGUGAAGAUCUCGCGAGGCUUGGGCGCUGCGGCGGUAGGAGGAGGACGGAGAAGGACGGAGCCUAGCUGUUGCUGCCUCCCUCGCUCACUCCUUCGCGCACUCGCCCGCCCCCUCCCUCCCUCCCCUCCCUUCCCCGGCCCCGGCUCCGGCCCCGGCCCCGGCCCAUUCGCUGUUCGGUCUUCCGCAGGGAGGAUGUCGGGCUCGUCGCUGCCCAGCGCCCUGGCCCUCUCUCUGUUGCUGGUCUCCGGCUCCCUCCUCCCAGGGCCAGGCGCCGCUCAGAACGCUGGGUUUGUCAAGUCGCCCAUGUCAGAAACUAAGCUCACUGGGGACGCCUUUGAGCUGUACUGUGACGUGGUCGGGAGCCCCACGCCAGAGAUCCAGUGGUGGUACGCAGAAGUCAACCGGGCAGAGUCUUUCAGACAGCUGUGGGACGGUGCUCGGAAGCGCCGUGUCACCGUAAACACCGCCUACGGGUCAAACGGCGUGAGUGUGCUGAGAAUAACCCGGCUCACCUUGGAGGACUCUGGGACUUACGAGUGCAGGGCCAGCAACGACCCCAAGAGGAAUGACUUGAGGCAAAACCCCUCCAUAACAUGGAUUCGAGCCCAGGCCACCAUAAGCGUCCUUCAGAAGCCACGGAUUGUCACCAGUGAAGAGGUCAUUCUUCGAGACAGCCCUGUUCUCCCCGUCACUCUGCAGUGUAACCUCACUUCCAGCUCUCACACCCUUACAUACAGCUACUGGACAAAGAAUGGGGUAGAGCUGACUGCCACUCGCAAGAAUGCCAGCAACAUGGAAUACAGGAUCAAUAAGCCGAGAGCUGAGGAUUCAGGCGAAUACCACUGUGUAUAUCACUUUGUCAGUGCUCCUAAAGCAAAUGCCACCAUUGAAGUGAAAGCUGCUCCUGACAUCACUGGCCACAAACGGAGCGAGAACAAGAAUGAAGGGCAAGAUGCCAUGAUGUAUUGCAAAUCAGUUGGCUACCCGCACCCAGAGUGGAUCUGGCGCAAGAAGGAGAAUGGUAUGCCCAUGGACAUUGUCAAUACCUCUGGCCGCUUCUUCAUCAUCAACAAGGAAAAUUAUACUGAGCUGAACAUCAUGAAUCUCCAGAUCACGGAAGACCCUGGCGAGUAUGAAUGUAAUGCUACCAACUCCAUUGGCUCUGCCUCCGUUGUCACCAUCCUCAGGGUACGGAGCCACCUGGCUCCACUCUGGCCUUUUUUGGGAAUUCUGGCUGAAAUCAUCAUCUUGGUGGUGAUCAUUGUUGUGUAUGAGAAGAGGAAGAGGCCAGAUGAAGUUCCUGAUGACCUGGGAUGCUGGAAUUAUUGCGGUGUUCGCCUCCUCUCUGCUCCCUUCCCGACAGCCAGCGCGGCCCAGGCUCCAUUCUCCACUCCACUUCCCUGCCUUGCUCUGGCAUUUCCAUCCCAGAGUUUUCUCCUUUGUUUGCCUCCUCCUCUCAAACCCCUCCCUGCUCCUAUGCCCCUUUAUUUCUUGUCCUCCUGGAAUUAUUAAAGAAAAAAAAAGUUGAUUGUUCCUCAGUGAGUUUUCCUUAUGCUGUGGCUUUUUUUCCAGCCAGUUUCCCCUCAACUCCUAUGCAUCCCUCAUAUGCUUUCUCCUCACCUACCCUGUCCCCAGGUCUACAUAUAGAGAGAUGCGGGCACUCCUUUGUGGAAUGAAUGAAGAGGUACCUUGUAUCUGAUACGAAUUGGGAGUUUUAGAGGUGAUGGAUUUUUAUCAGCCAGCCAUCUGUGGCUCUGUUGACUUAUUUGUGCCACUGUGAAAAUGGAUUUUUUAAAUAUGCCUGACAUGCUUUCUCUGCCAAAAUAGGUACUUUUUAUUAUCAAGGUAGACCUAGGAUUUAUUUUUGACUUACUGAACUUCUUCUUAUAUGAAAAAAUUUCAUAUAAAACUCAUAAUACUCACAUUCGGGUAGUCUGUGAGUUCUUGGUAACUCAGCCCCUGACCAGAAAAGCACUAAGUGAACAGUUUAAAACUACACACCACAGAUUUGAACUUAGAGAGUUUACUCCAAGUACGCUUCACCAGAAUGGCAAAGAUUGCUUUAGAUUUCUCACAUAGAAAAUGCUUAGGGUUAAGGGUUAGCUACUUCCAAUUAGGGGGAGGGGGAAAAAAGGCCUCUGUGUCUUAGUCUGCUGGCAUCUACUCAGAACAUUUUUAAGCAAAACUCACACUAAGUCCCUUUAAGCCCCUGCUGUGGUCUCUUUGAGGAUCGGUGCCCAGUAGAUUGGUUGUCUUCUAGAUAGAUGGUCUGCAUCUCACCUUUUACCUUCAGUGUUUUCAGGAACAGAUGAGUCAUGGAGACAAACAAGGGCUUCGUUUUUUCAGCUUACUCCUCACUUGACUACAUUCUCUGAAAAUAUUACAUGAUAAUUUUCUAAAAAGAGUGGGUCCAGCCAGCAUCCCCCUAGCCUUCCAUCCAUCCUACAGCUCACAUGCCUGGAGCAGACCUUCUGUGCUGGUUCUCUGCUGAGUGAAGCAGAGGGGUUGGUGUGUGCUUCCAAGUUCCUCCCUCCCCACUCACCUGGGGAGAUGAGGCGGGAACCUGCCUCAUGGUUGGUGCCUUCAGUUCUGGACGUUUUAGUGACCGCAGGUGAAAACAGUAGGAGCUGAUUUAAGAAGAGCGGUGGUGGCAUCAAAAAGAGUUUUCUGUUUUCACGUUAGGGAGAUAAUUUUUAUAAGCAGUUCAAAGGGACUCUUCUAAGUUACUGAUGGAGAUCUGAGGUUUUGGGGGGACCAUUUUUAGUGGCUCUGAUGUAUUCGAACUCUGUUAGACACUCUACAAUUAAGAGGUAUUCUGACAUCCGAAAAAUCUAUCAGUUGGGAAUAUGAAGCUUUACAACAGAUCAGGAAUGUUGGUAAAGAAAUGUGAUCUUUAGAAUGACAUGCAAAACACACCUUUCAUUGUCUCUUAACUAGGGGUCCUCUGAGUCCGUUACCUUAUGGAGAAAAUACAAUAGGACCAAAUAUGAAAGGAAACUGGAAGUAACUGUUAAUCAGUCUCUGGUUUAAUGCUAAUCUGCUGAGAUGAGGCAAAAUGUAAGCAGGUUUAGAAACUAUAAAAGCCCAUCCUCCGUGAGAUGAAGGCAGUGAACAAGGAGCUUUGACCAGACAGGCCCCUCUUGGUCAUUCUGACUGGAAAGCCAUCUUUUUGGAGGUGCUACCAUGUCAGGUAACCCGUUCCUUAGCGGGCAUCGCAGAGCACUCUUCCUGAUGACACGUCCAUGUGAUCUAGGGGAGUGAGGGCCGGAGUACGUCUGUUGGGAAGACAGCAGUUCCACCAGGAACUUCACUCUCCUGAGGUGGAUUCCAGAAGCAUCUUGUUUCCCUUCUCCCCAGUCCUCUUCCUCUCGUCUAGCCAGUGGUUGUGAGUAAUGCCUAGGUGAAGAGAGGAGCCCUUGUUUAAGCAGCUAUCUUUUGGCCUGAGGGUUUGGGGUAUGUUGAUAUUUGUCGGUUACUAUGACUUCUUUUUUUUCCCCCCUCAAUUGCAUCAAACCCUUAAAACAUGGUGACGAUGAACCAGCUGGGCCAAUGAAAACCAACUCUACCAACAAUCACAAAGAUAAAAACUUGCGCCAGAGAAACACAAAUUAAAUACUGCUUAUAAUAUCUUUAGGUUCCUGAAACUGGUGGCAACAUGAUCUGCUAAAUUUUCUGCUUGGACCUCUUUGGUUCUCUCCCCUUUUAAGUGAGCAGCACCACAAA